AUUGAACGCUAGCGGGAUGCUUUACACAUGCAAGUCGAACGAGUGGCGGACGGGUGAGUAAUAUAUCGGAACGUGCCCAGUAGCGGGGGAUAACUACGCGACAGAGUGGCUAAUACCGCAUACUCUUGGGGCGGCCGAUAGCGGAUUAGCUAGUGGGUGGGGUAAAGGCUCACCAAGGCAACGAUCCGUAGCUGGUUUGAGAGGACGACCAGCCACACUGGGACUGAGACACGGCCCAGACUCCUACGGGAGGCAGCAGUGGGGAAUUUUGGACAAGGGGGGAAACCCUGAUCCAGCCAUCCCGCGUGUAUGAGAAGGCCUUCGGGUUGUAAAGUACUUUCGGCAGAGAAGCGGUACCGGCAGAAUAAGCACCGGCUAACUACGUGCCAGCAGCCGCGGUAAUUC
rnacentral:rRNA from 1 species